AUUGAACGCUGGCGGCAUGCCUUACACAUGCAAGUCGAACGGGCAGCAUGGAGGAGCUUGCUCCUCUGAUGGCGAGUGGCGAACGGGUGAGUAAAGCAUCGGAACGUACCGUGUAGUGGGGGAUAACGUAGCGAAAGUUACGCUAAUACCGCAUACGCACUGAGGUGGAAAGCAGGGGAUCGCAAGACCUUGCGCUAUACGAGCGGCCGAUGUCAGAUUAGCUAGUUGGUAGGGUAAAGGCCUACCAAGGCGACGAUCUGUAGCGGGUCUGAGAGGAUGAUCCGCCACACUGGGACUGAGACACGGCCCAGACUCCUACGGGAGGCAGCAGUGGGGAAUUUUGGACAAUGGGGGAAACCCUGAUCCAGCCAUGCCGCGUGAGUGAAGAAGGCCUUCGGGUUGUAAAGCUCUUUCGGCUGGGAAGAAAUCGCACAGGCUAAUACUCUGUGUGGAUGACGGUACCAGCAUAAGAAGCACCGGCUAACUACGUG
rnacentral:rRNA from 1 species